rnacentral:ncRNA from 21 species
GGUCAUGAGUGACAGCGACAAGCCCUGGCUCGCUGUCCGGCAACCCUCCUCCGCGGCGGGGUGCCCCAGGUGAAGACCCGGCCGGACGAAAACGUCCGGCAAGCGCGGAUC